rnacentral:rRNA from 1 species
GAAGUCUUUCGGGACUUUAGUGGCGGACGGGUGAGUAACGCGUGAGGAUCUGCCUACAGGACUGGGACAACAGUUGGAAACGGCUGCUAAAACCGGAUGUGCCGAGAGGUGAAAUAUUAAUAGCCUGUAGAUGAGCUCGCGUCUGAUUAGCUAGUUGGUGAGGUAAGGGCUCACCAAGGCGACGAUCAGUAGCUGGUCUGAGAGGACGAUCAGCCACACUGGGACUGAGACACGGCCCAGACUCCUACGGGAGGCAGCAGUGGGGAAUUUUCCGCAAUGGGCGCAAGCCUGACGGAGCAAUACCGCGUGAGGGAGGAAGGUCUGUGGAUUGUAAACCUCUUUUGAUAGGGAAGAACACAAUGACGGUACCUAUCGAAUCAGCAUCGGCUAACUCCGUGCCAGCAGCCGCGGUAAUACGGAGGAUGCAAGCGUUAUCCGGAUUUAUUGGGCGUAAAGCGUCCGUAGGUGGUUAAUCAAGUCUAUUGUCAAAGCCUGGGGCUUAACCCUGGAGAGGCGGUGGAAACUGGUUGACUUGAGUGCGGUAGGGGCAGAGGGAAUUCCCAGUGUAGCGGUGAAAUGCGUAGAUAUUGGGAAGAACCCCGGUGGCGAAAGCGCUCUGCUGGGCCU